AGAGUUUGAUCAUGGCUCAGAACGAACGCUGGCGGCAGGCUUAACACAUGCAAGUCGAGCGCCCCGCAAGGGGAGCGGCAGACGGGUGAGUAACGCGUGGGAAUCUACCCAUCACUACGGAACAACUCCGGGAAACUGGAGCUAAUACCGUAUACGUCCUUCGGGAGAAAGAUUUAUCGGUGAUGGAUGAGCCCGCGUUGGAUUAGCUAGUUGGUGGGGUAAUGGCCUACCAAGGCGACGAUCCAUAGCUGGUCUGAGAGGAUGAUCAGCCACACUGGGACUGAGACACGGCCCAGACUCCUACGGGAGGCAGCAGUGGGGAAUAUUGGACAAUGGGCGAAAGCCUGAUCCAGCCAUGCCGCGUGAGUGAUGAAGGCCUUAGGGUUGUAAAGCUCUUUCAGUGGGGAAGAUAAUGACGGUACCCACAGAAGAAGCCCCGGCUAACUUCGUGCCAGCCGCCGCGGUAAUACA
rnacentral:rRNA from 1 species